rnacentral:miRNA from 1 species
CGACUAACUCGAUUCAGUUG